rnacentral:lncRNA from 1 species
ACAAAAUAAGAAUAUGUACAAGUAAAAGGAUCUUUAAUCCCGAAAGGUCUCAAGACACUAGACUGACCUUGCACUGGUACACAGGUGGGAUAGGAAAUGGCAGUUGCUUUUGCACAAUGUUCAGUAGCAUUCUGCAGGGGAUAGUUUAGGAGAUGAAGAAAAAUUUGGCAACCAUGUUAGAGUGAAACCACAGGCUUACCAAAACUAGACGGUGACCAGCAGGCACAGGCUGGUUCCACUUGGAAGAAAAAAGUGGAGCUUUUAGUGACCAGAAAUAGAAACAACUUUGAUAGCACUUCCUCCAUGUUAUUGCUGGUGGCAGCAUGGUGUAGAGCAUGCUUGCACCAUGUUACAUCAUUUGUUCAGUCCUGACUCACAAAGAGCCCCUUACCGAAUCAUUCACACCAGAAACUACAACAGACUUCAUUUUUCUAGGAGAUAAUCAUGACUAACAGAGCUUCUGUUAUCAUAAUCUGGGCAGCUCCUGGCCUACUGUGGAAGUUUCCCACAAAAGAUUUCACUACUGCAAUUAAAUAUACAGCUAAUCAUUGGAUUUUAUUAUCAUUUUUAUUCUUGUAGCCAGGCUCAAGGUCUUGGAAAACCUUCUAUGCAAAACUUGAUGGACUAAAGCUUGAUAUCUAUAAUGAUGAAGAAGAAGCAUCUAAGAAUAUAUCCGCGUUCCAGUCCCUCAGCAUUGCUGGUGCCAAAUGUGAGAGGCUGACAAAUUACAUCAGGAAAGAGAACACCUUCAUGUUACGGCUGAUAAAUGGGGCAGAGUAUUACUUUGCAGCACCUUCUCAGAUGCUGAUGGAAAACUGGCUGAAGUCACUACAGAAUAAUAUAGAACACAGAAACAGACCAGGUUCCACAGCAAUGGUAAGGCCUUUUGUUCCAAGCACAGAGACCUCCCAGACAAGACUGUGGAACCUUCCAGACAGAGACUCUGCUGAAAGUCUAACCAGCAAAAGUGCACUCCUGAGGAGAACACCUUCUUUCAAAAUCAAACGGGAGAAAGAGUCUGCAGAAUUUUUCAGAGAUUUGAAGGAAGAUGGAACUGCAGUGGCAUAAGCCUCCACAACCACCCUGAGCCUAGAACAAAGCGGUAAUAAAACAAAGCUGCCUCCAACUUUAUGAGAACCUGGAAGAAAAAAAUAACAUUUGCCUCAAUGAAUACCAGACCUUCACCAUUAUAUUGUAACUUCUGGAAAUGUAUUCAUAAGUUUUAAUUUAAUCACUACCCUUCGAACUUACUUUAAUUAUGUAUUAAAUCUGGUCAAACCAUUAAACAUAAUUAAACACAGCUGCAUCUGGUAUACUUUUGUGGAUACGACAACUCUGUCACUUACCAUAUUACCUAAGUGAUACAUUCUCCAAGUUACCUAACGGAAAAGCAGAGGGAGGUUUAAGCCAGACAGCUCACAUGAAGUGACUUUGCAAGAGGGCAAUGGGGAACCAUGAGCAGAGCACAAGGUGCAAGCUGUCCAUGAACAGCAGCCACCUGCAAGUAGCUUCAGAGAUACCAAUUGAAAAGUUUUAAGCUGUUUUUAUGGUCUGUACAUCACAAAAGCAGUAGUCUUAAGGGGAAUGCUUUUUUAUGUAAUUUUUACAGUGUUUCGUAGUCUCCACAAUCUUUCAUUUUACAAUACCAACC